AAGAACUCAUCCAAGCUGGCCACCUGCGCAAAUUCAUUAAGAUCGACACUAACUUGUACCGAUUUCCACAAAGGGAGGCUACCUACUUAAGAGUCGUAAAGAACAAUACGAUUGGUGUGGAUGAGAAGGCUCAUGUCGUUUUGAUGACAACCAGCGUCCAGCAAAGCAUAGAAGAAGAAGUGAGAGCCUAGUACGAAGGACUCGACCGCGAAGCGAGGGUCUUAGGAAGAACGAUUGAACAAGACGCGGUGCCCAAGAGGUUAUCAAUACUAUAGCUGGUCUGAUCCCAUUCGAAAGCACUGGAUGAGAAGUAAAUAUAAUCGCAGGAGGCUUUGUUGGAGGCGAAUGCUCCAAUUCUGCCCGAAAGAAGCACUUUUGGGUCGUUCUAUCGGUCCAUUUUG
rnacentral:lncRNA from 1 species